rnacentral:rRNA from 1 species
UAUACAUGCAGUCGAGCGGACAGAAGGGAGCUUGCUCCCGGAUGUUAGCGGCGGACGGGUGAGUAACACGUGGGUAACCUGCCUGUAAGACUGGGAUAACUCCGGGAAACCGGAGCUAAUACCGGAUAGUUCCUUGAACCGCAUGGUUCAAGGAUGAAAGACGGUUUCGGCUGUCACUUACAGAUGGACCCGCGGCGCAUUAGCUAGUUGGUGAGGUAACGGCUCACCAAGGCGACGAUGCGUAGCCGACCUGAGAGGGUGAUCGGCCACACUGGGACUGAGACACGGCCCAGACUCCUACGGGAGGCAGCAGUAGGGAAUCUUCCGCAAUGGACGAAAGUCUGACGGAGCAACGCCGCGUGAGUGAUGAAGGUUUUCGGAUCGUAAAGCUCUGUUGUUAGGGAAGAACAAGUGCAAGAGUAACUGCUUGCACCUUGACGGUACCUAACCAGAAAGCCACGGCUAACUACGUGCCAGCAGCCGCGGUAAUACGUAGGUGGCAAGCGUUGUCCGGAAUUAUUGGGCGUAAAGGGCUCGCAGGCGGUUUCUUAAGUCUGAUGUGAAAGCCCCCGGCUCAACCGGGGAGGGUCAUUGGAAACUGGGAAACUUGAGUGCAGAAGAGGAGAGUGGAAUUCCACGUGUAGCGGUGAAAUGCGUAGAGAUGUGGAGGAACACCAGUGGCGAAGGCGACUCUCUGGUCUGUAACUGACGCUGAGGAGCGAAAGCGUGGGGAGCGAACAGGAUUAGUUUUUUUUUUUUU